CCUACGGGAGGCAGCAGUGAGGAAUAUUGGUCAAUGGACGAUAGUCUGAACCAGCCAAGUAGCGUGAAGGAUGACUGCCCUAUGGGUUGUAAACUUCUUUUAUAAGGGAAUAAAACGAGGCACGUGUGCCUUUUUGCAUGUACUUUAUGAAUAAGGAUCGGCUAACUCCGUGCCAGCAGCCGCGGUAAUACGGAGGAUCCGAGCGUUAUCCUGAUUUAUUGGGUUUAAAGGGAGCGUAGAUGGUUUGUUAAGUCAGUUGUGAAAGUUUGCGGCUCAACCGUAAAAGUGCAAUUGAUACUGGCAGUCUGGAGUACAGUAGAGGUAGGCGGAAUUCGUGGGGUAGCGGUGAAAUGCUUAGAUAUCACGAAGAACUCCGAUUGCGAAGGCAGCUUACUAAACUGCAACUGACAUUGAUGCUCGAAAGUGUGGGUAUCAAACAGGAUGAGAUACCCUAGUAGUC
rnacentral:rRNA from 1 species